rnacentral:rRNA from 1 species
UACGUAGGGGGCAAGCGUUAUCCGGAAUUACUGGGUGUAAAGGGAGCGUAGGCGGCAAGGCAAGUCUGAUGUGAAAACCCAGGGCCCAACCCUGGGACUGCAUUGGAAACUGUAUUGCUUGAGUACCGGAGAGGCAGGCGGAAUUCCUAGUGUAGCGGUGAAAUGCGUAGAUAUUAGGAGGAACACCAGUGGCGAAGGCGGCCUGCUGGACGGUAACUGACGCUGAGGCUCGAAAGCGUGGGGAGCAAACAGG